rnacentral:rRNA from 1 species
AGUGAACGCUGGCGGUAGGCCUAACACAUGCAAGUCGAACGGCAGCACAGUAAGAGCUUGCUCUUACGGGUGGCGAGUGGCGGACGGGUGAGGAAUACAUCGGAAUCUACUUUUUCGUGGGGGAUAACGUAGGGAAACUUACGCUAAUACCGCAUACGACCUACGGGUGAAAGCAGGGGAUCUUCGGACCUUGCGCGAUUGAAUGAGCCGAUGUCGGAUUAGCUAGUUGGCGGGGUAAAGGCCCACCAAGGCGACGAUCCGUAGCUGGUCUGAGAGGAUGAUCAGCCAAACUGGAACUGAGACACGGUCCAGACGCCUACGGGAGGCAGCAGUGGGGAAUAUUGGACAAUGGGCGCAAGCCUGAUCCAGCCAUACCGCGUGGGUGAAGAAGGCCUUCGGGUUGUAAAGCCCUUUUGUUGGGAAAGAAAAGCAGCAGGUUAAUACCCCGCUGUUCUGACGGUACCCAAAGAAUAAGCACCGGCUAACUUCGU